rnacentral:rRNA from 1 species
UACGUAGGGGGCUAGCGUUGUCCGGAUUUAUUGGGCGUAAAGAGCGUGUAGGCGGCCAGGUAGGUCUGCUGUGAAAACUCGAGGCUCAACCUCGAGACGUCGGCGGAAACCAUCUGGCUAGAGUCCGGAAGAGGAGAGUGGAAUUACCUGGUGUAGCGGUGAAAUGCGCAGAGUAUCAGGAAGAACACCCGUGGCGAAGGCGGCUCUCUGGGACGGUACUGACGCUGAGACGCGAAAGCGUGGGAGCGAACAGG